CUACGGGUUGCACCAGUGGGGAAUAUUGCACAAUGGGCGCAAGCCUGAUGCAGCCAUGCCGCGUGUAUGAAGAAGGCCUUCGGGUUGUAAAGUACUUUCAGCGGGGAGGAAGGGAGUAAAGUUAAUACCUUUGCUCAUUGACGUUACCCGCAGAAGAAGCACCGGCUAACUCCGUGCCAGCAGCCGCGGUAAUACGGGGGGUGCAAGCGUUAAUCGGAAUUACUGGGCGUAAAGCGCACGCAGGCGGUUUGUUAAGUCAGAUGUGAAAUCCCCGGGCUCAACCUGGGAACUGCAUCUGAUACUGGCAAGCUUGAGUCUCGUAGAGGGGGGUAGAAUUCCAGGUGUAGCGGUGAAAUGCGUAGAGAUCUGGAGGAAUACCGGUGGCGAAGGCGGCCCCCUGGACGAAGACUGACGCUCAGGUGCGAAAGCGUGGGGAGCAAACAGGAUUAGAUACCCUAGUAGUC
rnacentral:rRNA from 1 species